CGGGCAGUAGCUCAGUCCGGCAGAGCACUCGGUUUGGGACCGAGGGGCCGCAGGUUCAAAUCCUGCCUUCCCGACCA
rnacentral:tRNA from 1 species